rnacentral:lncRNA from 1 species
UAUUGCAGAAGCAGUCUUGCAAAAAAAAGGGAUGACAUGGAAAAGACACCUAGACAGCAAAGAAUGGGAAACUGUGGGGUGUUCCACGGCGCAGAAGAAGUACAUACUGAAAAUCUAGAUAUGGAAACAACGGGUGAAGAAACAGCUGACAAUCCAGAGCCUAAAAAAUGUGAGACAGAUUCUUCAGUCCAAUCUUCAUCUGUCUCGGAGAAAAAGUCAUGCAAAAGGAAUAAAAGACAGAGAUAUGGAGUCCCCAGCAGUGAUUCCCUUUCCAGUUCUGAUGAUGAUGAUGUUGAGGAUUUUGAAAUACCGAACAAGAAGAGAAAUAUAAGGAGGUUAAUGAAAUUAGAGAAUAGGGGAGGGAGGAGUGUAUCUGGGAGGACUUUGCAUAUGCCUAACUAUGAAGUGUUGCCAUCUCCAUCUUGUACCCUUUCUAAAUUGGGGCAAUAUUUAAUCAUACCUGUUGGUAUUGACAACUGUACUUGGAGUUUCUAAAACUGGAUUUCUGGAACUGACUUUUAAUAAGAAAUUUGAUUUCUAGGUGAGAGUGGGAGGAAAUUUAGAGAUAGAUGCUUUGAUGUAUUCUCUUGAUGUAGAACUUCACUGCUUCUGUGCUUUAGCAUUGUUUUUUCAAAACAAAAACCUCUACAAGAGAAAAUGUUCUAAGUAGGGGAAAUAGAUUUUAUUACUUAACAAAUGCUCUAGAAAUAUUAAUUUAAUAACAUUCCAACAAAUGAGAGUCUAACAAAUUUUCAGCCUGACAUCUUUCAGAUGUGUAUCUUCUGGCACACACAUUCCAAAGUUCCCAGGAGUUGUGAGCAGCCUUUAUAAUAUUAACACCCACUAAAAUAAGUGUUCUCCU